GCGCGCGAUUGGUUAUGGCCGUUGUUUUGAACGCAAGGAAAGAAGACGACGACGACGACGACGGGGAGGGAGGAGUGGUGUACGUUGCACAGUGCGUGCGUGUUUUGAGUAGGGCCGAAGUUAAGUGUGCGUUUCGUUUGGAUCAAAUUCUGGUGGCUCCGUCCGAGGGUGGUUAAGGUGGGCAUGGGUGGGGGCCUCUGUGCUCACUCAUUUCAUUUCCAACUUGGUCCUUCCUAGCUCGCUUUGCAUAUUCGUAUAGUAGUAUGCGUUAAUUAAUUAAUUUGCACCGCCCGCUCCAAAAGCUAUAAGCUACUGACAAUCCCCUGUGGGCUGUGGGAUGGUAAUUCAUCCUGCAUGCGUGUUCACUGUUCAAGAAACAGGGAAAAAAAAUCUAUACGAACCGUAUCCAAACAGCUCCUCCCGUCCACCACUUAUAGACCCACAAAAACAUAUUAAAAUUUGCAACUUAACUCUUUAAUAUUUUUUCUAUUUAUAUGGACCAUCAAUUAGUGAAUGUGAGGGACUCUAAAAGAGAUUAUUUAUAUUCUAGAUGCAAAGAAUUUUUUUUCCCAACAAACAGCAUGGCCGGCAGGCAAGGAAACUGCAGUACUACGAUUAAAAUUAG
rnacentral:lncRNA from 7 species